AUUGCCCAAUUUACACAUUUUUGUAAAUGUGCCUGGAAAUUUUGAGUUGGAAUUGUGAAAACGUAGAGGGAGUAGUAAAGCUUAGAACAGUACAGGGACAUCAGCCUCCUUAGGUACGUGUGCAAUCAAAGUUUACUUAUUAAUUUACUUUGUCUAUUUCUGUUUGCUUCACUUAAACUCAGGCAGAAUUAAAAUGCAAACAAACCCACACUAAGGCAUGCUUCUAACAUUCUUUAGAUCUGGGUGUUGGAAACUUUCCCCCUUGUUUUUACAAGUAAACUUUUUUUUUUGGAGUACACCUGUAUUCUGUGAUACAGAUGCUUUGUGGUUGCCUUCCCACCACAGUUUGAGGAGUUGAGAGUAGUUGUAGCAAAAGCCUAAAUAUACAUAGCCUAAAAAAUAUACUAUCUGGUUCCUGACCCUUUGUUCUAGAUCUACCCUAACUUAUGAACCAUACCAUAGCUACAGAGAACUCAGAAGCCGUUGGGUUCUCUUUUGGUAAUAAAACAUUUUUUGUUUUUGGGGAGGUUUUCUUGAACUGGGAACCGAACUCAGGGCCUUGCUCUUGCCAGGCAGGCACUGUUCUGAGCUAUAUUCCCGGCAUAAAAUGUAUUUAAAAAUUUUUUUCAAUGUUAAAAUUACCUCUAAUUAAGUAAUUCAGAACUUUCAUACACUUAGAGGUCCAGCGCAGAGGUCUUUAGCCCAGUUGACCCUGACAUGGUUGGAUAUUAGGAGAGGCUUUAACUGCAACUACUGUGUAGUAGCUUCUCUAAUCCAAACCUGAGAAACGAUGGGAGAGUCAGGUGGGAAGGUUGUUUAUAAACUAAUUCGGUGGAAUUCGCAAAAGGAUUUUAUUAUCGACAGAACUUUUUUUGGUAAUUGCUUAUGAGAUGAUUCUUAAGAGUGUCUCUUUUUGAAACAUUUGGAAAUCUACAUUCUAAGUUAUUAUUUUUCUCUACUUUAGUUUCGGUUGUAUAAAUGGCUUCUAGGGCCUGCAAAACAGAAGUUCUUUUGCUUCUUGGUGAGGGAGAGUGAGUAGAACUGAAAACUUGCCUAAUGUAGUUCAGAUAAUAGUCUCCUGUCUGAUCAUAUUUAAAAGAGGUUAAUUGCUUAGCACAUAGUAGAUGCUCAAGAAAUACUUGAUGAUUUAUUGUAUAAAUAUUGCUUCUUUUAACAGAGUUUACCAACUAGUGUUUUGGGUUUAAUAAAGAGUAAAGAUGCAAGUUUUAAUGUGUUAAAUAUUAAUAUUAUGUCUGAAGGUCUAAAUUUUUUUCAGUAAAAAUUUAAUAUGACAAGAUCUUGCAAUCUUUUGUAUUCUCCUUCCCUUUCUGGCAAAUCUCAGUCUGUGUAGUCAAGUUUGAAACCAAUAGGGACAGUUGGGAGGAUUUGAUUUAGUUUCUAAAUCCCCGACCCAAAGACAAACAUAAUUAACCUUGUGUUCUUGGUGGUGAAUAACUGGCUGGUCUUUUUCAAAUCAUUUUAUAGUUAGUUUUUAUGUCUGUGCUAUUUAAGACUCAAACCUGUUGACAUAUAUUCUAUUGAUGAUUGACACUUUUUUUUUUUUGUACUGGGGCUCGAACUCGGGACCUUGUGCUUGUGUGGCAGGCGCCAGAACCACUGAGCUAAAUCCCCUGCCC